rnacentral:rRNA from 1 species
GGCUUUAAGCAGCUGACCAUGCAGUCGAGCGGUAACAGGCAGGUGCUUGCACCCCGCUGACGAGCGGCGGACGGGUGAGUAAUGCAUAGGAAUCUGCCCAGUAGUGGGGGAUAGCCCGGGGAAACCCGGAUUAAUACCGCAUACGCCCUACGGGGGAAAGCAGGGGAUCUUCGGACCUUGCGCUAUUGGAUGAGCCUAUGUCGGAUUAGCUUGUUGGUGGGGUAAUGGCUCACCAAGGCGACGAUCCGUAGCUGGUCUGAGAGGAUGAUCAGCCACAUCGGGACUGAGACACGGCCCGAACUCCUACGGGAGGCAGCAGUGGGGAAUAUUGGACAAUGGGGGCAACCCUGAUCCAGCCAUGCCGCGUGUGUGAAGAAGGCUUUCGGGUUGUAAAGCACUUUCAGUGAGGAGGAAAACCUUAUGGCUAAUACCCAUGAGGCUUGACGUUACUCACAGAAGAAGCACCGGCUAACUCCGUGCCAGCAGCCGCGGUAAUACGGAGGGUGCAAGCGUUAAUCGGAAUUACUGGGCGUAAAGCGCGCGUAGGUGGUUUGAUAAGCGAGAUGUGAAAGCCCCGGGCUUAACCUGGGAACGGCAUUUCGAACUGUCAGGCUAGAGUGUGGUAGAGGGUAGUGGAAUUUCCUGUGUAGCGGUGAAAUGCGUAGAUAUAGGAAGGAACACCAGUGGCGAACGCGGCUAGCCUGGACCAACACUGACACUGACGUGCGAGAAGCGUGUGGAGCAAACAGGAUUAGAUACCCCUGGGAGGUCCACGCCGUAAACGAUGUCUACUAGCCGUU